UCCGCUAUCUGUUAUAUAGAGAGGCUCCAACGCUUACACCCUGAGACUUUAGAACAAUUGUCUCAUUAUCAGAAGCCUCAGCAGGAGUUUUGGGCCACCUGACACACAGGAAUCAUGAAGUUUCUGGUAAUCAUGUGUGUGUUCGCCGCGAGCGUACAUUUCACAGAGCCCUUUUUGCACCAAAUUCUUGCCAUUGGACCUUCUGGCGUUGUGAAACCGAUGGCGGUUGAUCUCAAUCCUUUGUACCAGUUCAUGAAGUACCAAAGAUUCCUCGCUGGCCACAGAAUACAGAACCUUGAUAAAAGGUACAGGUUGAGCCUUGAGGCAGCCAACGACAACGUUGCGAUGGCUGACAAGGAGGUCAUCUCAAAGGAUGGCAAUAAGGUGCAGCUCUCUGACCGAGAACUUUCCCGCACCAAACGCUCCGUUCUGGAGUGGCCUUUGCAGUGGUCCCGCUUCCGCAAGACUGAAUAAAGACAUUAUUCCAGAAAUUAAGCCAGCUACAAAACAAUCAACGGUUUAGACUUGUUGAACCACGGGACUUCCAAGGUGCAAACCGCGAAAGUUUGAACCUGACAUACUGUGAGUGGCAAACCGACCUCCAGUGCGGUUCAGUGUUGUUCGGACAUCAGCGGAGGAUGGAUGUGGCAAAUUUCUUGCUGAGGGAAUCCCAUUCUUCGUAGACGCCAUUAGCUACAGUUACCCAGGCUUUAUCUUUUGCCAUUCUAUCUUUAUACUGAUCACAAUCCUUGUCCCAGAUAGCAGGCUGUUGUUCUACCAUAGAAAUAAUCACUUCCGCAGACAUAUUCAAAAAGUUCACAAUUGAUAUCUGUAUAUUAUUUCUGAAAAACAAACAGGAGUGUGAGCGAGAAACAAAGUGCACCUGAUGAAUGCUUCAAAGCUACUGCAGAUCAAAGUCAUCACAGGCAGGGUUGCCAACUUUGGAAUUACAAUAUUACUGAAUGAUACUAUUUUCUUGUUAGUUUAAAGUCACUUCUACCCAUAUUGAUGAGAUUUGUAUUAAUAGUGAAGCAAUGAAAAUAUAAGGAAAUAAUAGAAGUGAUACAUUGAGAUUUUCAACAUACUUACAUUAGUAGAAAUAUAUAUAUAUAUAUAUAUAUAUAUAUAUAUAUAUAUAUAUAUAUAUAUAUAUAUAUAUAUAUAUAUAUAUAUAUAUAUAUAUAUAUAUAUAUAUAUAUAUAUAUAUAUACCAGAGAAGAUUAGUGUUUUUCCCGCCGCCGCGCACGGCAUAGUAUGUCAGUAGCCAUAGCUUAACAUGUGUUGACUCUGAAAACCGCGACCGCGCGCGGUCGCGGUUUUGAUUUUUCCCGCCAACAUUUGCGGCAGAAAAAAAUCAGACAACGGCAACCGCGACCGCGCGCGGCGUCGGUUUCUCUAGUAUGUCAGGUCCCAUAGGAUAACACAUGCUGGCGGUUUUUUUUUUCACCGCUGCCGCGCGCGGCAACGGUUUGCCGCGUCUAGUAUGUCACUACACUAAGGAUGGUAGCAUCACAACACUAACCGACCAAGGGCUUUCUCGCCUCAACCGUAGCAUCGAUGGUUACGAGAGAGUACCAAAUAACCACUUUUGGAAGAGUUUACUCUCUCAUCUUGAAAUGAGUCCGUUUGAAAAGAAACAUCACCGAGAUCACGUAUUACAAACUAAAGAGAUAAAAAAUUAACCCAUAAAUCUACAUUUAUAAAAUACCUUACUUUUAUUUCUGAAGAACAUAUAUUUCCAACAUAUAACAAACACACGCAUAACGUUACAAAUGUCGAUGAAGACUGAAAACUAAUGGUAUCUAAUGAGAUAACAACAUACAGCCAUUUUUUUUCUUCUUACUUCUUUCUGGUCCCUAAUUCAUUAGGUUACUAUUAUGUAAUAUAUGCAAUAUCUGUUUUAUAUAAGGUAAAUUCUGUUAUUGGGUAAAAAAAAAAUCAACUCCUAGGAGAGAAAAGAUUUUUUCUUUUUUAAGUAAGAUUAGUAAUUAUCCAAGAGCAACAAAAUUAUUAAAAAAAAAAGGCCGCUGACGUGCCGGUCGCUAAACAAAGCAAAUGGAGAGAGGACUCCUUGGCUGGUAUAUGAGUUAUCUUUUUUUUUUUUAUUUCAAAUGAAGAAUGUAUGUGUAGCUAGGAGCAUAUAGUUUUGUGUGAAGAUAGAUUGUCUUUAGAAGGCAGGAUGUGACUGCCCCCUGUGUUGUGAGACAUAAAAUGACACAACUGACUUUUAUUCUUAUCAAAGUUAAAAAAAAUUUAAAUACAUUACUGUUAGCUGAAAAUAAGUCCAUUACCUGUAGCAAAAAACUGUCUGUAUGAUUUUCUUGGUAUUUAAGAGUUUGACUUAUCUAUGUUGAUUAUAUUCUUAUGUUUGCAAAAA